UACGGAGGGUGCAAGCGUUGUCCGGAAUCACUGGGCGUAAAGAGCUCGUAGGCGGCUUGUCGCGUCGACUGUGAAAACCCACGGCUCAACUGUGGGCUUGCAGUCGAUACGGGCAGGCUAGAGUUCGGUAGGGGAGACUGGAAUUCCUGGUGUAGCGGUGAAAUGCGCAGAUAUCAGGAGGAACACCGAUGGCGAAGGCAGGUCUCUGGGCCACUACUGACGCUGAGAAGCGAAAGCAUGGGGAGCGAACAGG
rnacentral:rRNA from 1 species